GUGGGGAAUUUUGGACAAUGGGGGCAACCCUGAUCCAGCCAUGCCGCGUGCGGGAAGAAGGCCUUCGGGUUGUAAACCGCUUUUGUCAGGGAAGAAAUCCUUUGGGUUAAUACCUCGGAGGGAUGACGGUACCUGAAGAAUAAGCACCGGCUAACUACGUGCCAGCAGCCGCGGUAAUACGUAGGGUGCGAGCGUUAAUCGGAAUUACUGGGCGUAAAGCGUGCGCAGGCGGUUUUGUAAGAUCGAUGUGAAAUCCCCGGGCUCAACCUGGGAACUGCAUUGGUGGCGGCAAGGCUGGAGUGCGGCAGAGGGGGAUGGAAUUCCGCGUGUAGCAGUGAAAUGCGUAGAUAUGCGGAGGAACACCGAUGGCGAAGGCAAUCCCCUGGGCCUGCACUGACGCUCAUGCACGAAAGCGUGGGGAGCAAACAGGAUUAGAUACCCCAGUAGUCC
rnacentral:rRNA from 1 species